AUACUUACCUGGCAGGGGCAAUACCAUGAUCAAGUAGGUGGUUCGCCCACGAGGCUCAACCAUGCACAUCAGGUGUGCUGACCUUUACGAAUUCCCCAAAUGUGGGAGAUCUCGACUGCAGCAAUUUCAUACACUGCGUUCGCGCUUUCCUGAC
ensembl:snRNA U1 U1 spliceosomal RNA